rnacentral:rRNA from 1 species
AACGAACGCUGGCGGCAGGGUUUAGGCAUGCAAGUCGCACGGGAAAGCCGCAAGGUGAGUACAGUGGCGUAAGGGUGAGUAAUAGGUAGCUGACAUAUCCUUUGGACGCGGAUAAUUCCUCGAAAGGGGUUGUAAUACGCGAUGAGACCACGGGCUUCACGGAGCCUGGGGUCAAAAGUCGGGGAUCCUUCGGGACCUGGCGGCCAAGGGAGUGGGCGACCUCCGAUUAGCUAGUUGGCGGGGUAACGGCCCACCAAGGCGAUGAUCGGUAGCCGGGCUGAGAGGCUGUCCGGCCACACGGGCACUGAGACACUGGCCCGACUCCUACGGGAGGCUGCAGUCGCGUAAUUUUUCUCAAUGGGCGCAAGCCUGAAGAAGCCAUGCCGCGUGCGGGACGAAGGCCCUCUGGGUUAGUAAACCGCUGUCAGGGAAGGGGAAACGCUGCGUAUUAAUCGUGCGUAGUUUGACUGCUUUACCAAAGGAACGCCCCGGACAAAACAUGU